rnacentral:lncRNA from 1 species
UGGCACACUAAGGUUGAGUCUCUAGCCCUCUAUUUAUCCUAGUUUUCUAGGGUUAGGUUGUUUAUUGUGUCGCGCUAAUGGGCUAAAUGAUAAAACAUAAAAAAGGCCCAAUAUUUCUUUGCAUCUUUUUCCAUUCUGGGACCUUCUAUCUUUAUCUUUUUAGCUCAAAUCAUUCAUCUUUAAUCCAAAUCUCCAAUCUUCCUUAGAAAUCUGCAAUUAACACCAAAUUUG